GACGACAUUGUUUUUCGGGGGUCGAUCGGUUUUCGGGACAUCUGCUGGCGAGAAUGGGAAGCUACCGAUGCUUGUCUCUCCCGCGAGAAAUAACGAGGACAGCCACGUUUUUCGAACAAGUAUUUUAUCAAGCUCUUAUUUGCGAAAUAUUCCUCGAGUAAUUAUGCAGCUUUGUUAUUUGAUGCUAAAAGUUUCGUUUUUGAUAAAAUUAAAAAAAAAAAGAAAUGCACUUGACAACCUCAUUGCAUAAGUCUCACUUAACACUAACCUAACCAAAUUCGUGAAAUGAGUUUCAUACGUUCGUCAUUUCAAAUCACAUUUCUUCAGACACUUUUCUUGAAAUCUCUGUUAACUUUCACGGAGAUAAAGAACUAGCAUGUAUAUUAAGUUACGUUUCACCUUUUAUUUAUUUUUCAUUUUGAAGAAUGUGCACCGAUACGUUUAGUGUUAACAUGGCUGCAAAAUAACACAAAAGAAGAGCAUAGGGUGUAAGAGUUAUAAGUGCGUGUUAAAAGAGAGUUGUAUAAACAAAGAUUUGACAAAAUUCAUGAAAAGAAAAAGAAACCGGUUCCACGUUUUCAAUCGUAGUUACGUCAGGUAUUACCCAAUGAGAGAGAAGCUCUCGAUUGCACCCACUGCAGAAGCAAGCGUGUUGUACCAACCUUGCUUUAUCUUGUCCUCUCUUUCGCUAGGAUAUUACGUCUUAUGACUACAGCUGGAUAUAAACAUUGGCCUUCUGAACCGGACGAAUUUGAGAGAAGUCAAUCAUCGAGCUCAGCUUUCAAAGGAAUGUAUUUCACGUAUGUAUUCGUGUCGUCGUAUCCGAACACGGAUGCGUGUAAGCAACGAAGCAAAGGAGCGAUCCUCAACUUCGAAUUGCUUGCGCAAUGAUUCGAACUCGUAGCUCGGUAAGAGCGGAUGAACUUUUCCGUAUUGGGAAUGCUUAUGAAAUAAUCUAGCAGGAGGAUCGGCUGCUUAAAGUAACGAGUAAAGAGCUAGCGAAGUUGCGCAAAACCGUGGUCGAAGAUGAGAGGAAGACAGUAGGGACAGCUAUCUACGAAGAGGAUUCGUAGAAGAAAUUCUGUGGCGUAAUGUCGACCUCCGUUCUCUACUCCCUCCCGAUCGAGAUCGUUUCUCCUUUAUACCGUUGACGGAGAAGCCUCGAUUAUGUGCCACGGCGAGGAAACGAGAAGAAGAAAGGAGAAGAGACUGGGACAGGAUGGGAGAGGGUGAAGGGAAAAGAGUUAACCGAGAGUUCAUCGCUUAUUAUGUAAGCAACGUCGGCAGCCUAUAAACAACGCACCUCACCUUGCAUUACGCUUAUCAGUUCUGAAGGCCUCGUAUUUGUCUCUGGAGCUAGCGACACUACUUUAUAUUCCCCGAUAUAAAGAUAUCGAAAUAUAAUAUCCGAGUAUAUUUACCGUCGCAUCCAACACGUGCACAUCGGCUAUCAGGAACUCUACCGCAAAAUGCAAAUUUAUUUGGUGGUGUAAAAAAACGAGGAUAGUUGAUGGUGACCGUAUAUGCACAGUUCGGUACGCCUUGACCGUUUAUUUUGAAUUUGUUGCAAGUUCGAUGACCGACGACGAUGAACCACGGCCAUGAAGAAAGGCUGUGCCCGCAUAAGCAUUCCUCCAUACAUAUACGUGUAUCACAACUCAUAAAUACACGAUGUGCAUUCACAAUUUUUACCCGUUGAUCCCUUGUAUUUCAAUAUUCCCUUCCACCAUUUUACUUUUUCACCGCGUGCCUUUCAUUGUCUGCCAUUUUUGUCCAUAUAGGCAUGUAAAACUUCAGCUAAGGGAUCGUGAAGUAAUUACAAGAAAGGAGAAAUGUCAUUUAAAAUUAAAACAGAUUCUUUUCAUUGAGUU
rnacentral:lncRNA from 1 species